rnacentral:lncRNA from 1 species
CCUUGUUGUCGAAUCUGAACUCACUAUCAUUGCCUGACUGAACAGUCCUGGCAAUCUUCACUAACUCUGGGUCCUCAUGCUGUUUCUGAGCCACCUGCUCCAGAAACACGGGUGCCACUCUCAUCUGGGCAACUAAAGCACCUGUACCAGACAACUCCAACUGUAGACCUUCAUCAAUGAGCUUGUAAAACUCCUUCACCACUGGUCUCCUCUCCGCCGUGAUGUGGGAUAAACUGCCGAGUGAUUUCCGGCUUAGGGCGUCUGCCAC